rnacentral:rRNA from 1 species
GUCUACGGCCACACCACCCUGAAUGCGCCCGAUCUUGUCUGCUCUCGGAAGCUAAGCUGGGUCGGGCCUGGUUAGUACUUGGAUGGGAGAUUUAGAUCAAGAAGUGUGACA